rnacentral:lncRNA from 1 species
GCUCAGGUCUCUCUAGUGAAAUGCUAACAAGACAUAGCAUUCAUUGUUACGAAGUUAUAUGGUUACUAUCUUCGGUGGUGUGUUUAUUGUGUGAGAGGGACGGCAGGUUUGUGUGUGUGUGUGUGUGUGUGAAAGAGAGGGACGGCAGGUGUGUAUUUAUUGUGUGUAUACCUGUGUCCUUAGUUCCCGUGGGUAAGAGAGAUGGCAGGUGUGUAUUUAUUGUGUGUAUACCAGGUGUGUGUGUACCAGGUGUGUAUUUAUUGUGUGUAUACCAGGUGUGUGUGUACCAGGUGUGUAUUUAUUGUGUGUAUACCAGGUGUGUGUGUACCAGGUGUGUGUGUACCAGGUGUGUAUUUAUUGUGUGUAUACCAGGUGUGUGUGUACCAGGUGUGUAUUUAUUGUGUGUAUACCAGGUGUGUGUGUACCAGGUGUGUAUUUAUUGUGUGUAUACCAGGUGUGUGUGUACCAGGUGUGUAUUUAUUGUGUGUGUAUACCUGUGUCCUUAGUUCCCGUGGGUAAGAGAGAUGGCAGGUGUGUAUUUAUUGUGUGUAUACCAGGUGUGUAUUUAUUGUGUGUAUACCAGGUGUGUGUGUACCAGGUGUGUAUUUAUUGUGUGUAUACCUGUGUCCUUAGUCCCUGUGGGUGAGAAGCGGCUGAUGGAGGUGAAGCUGUGUGAACUGGGCUCCUGGAUGGGCAAGAGGGACUUCACUCCUAACGGACUCCUCGCCAGCAUCCGCAAUGGUUAGACUUCUGGGACAGUUAUCACACACACACACACUCCUAACGGACUCCUCGC